UACGAAGGGGGCUAGCGUUGCUCGGAAUCACUGGGCGUAAAGCGCACGUAGGCGGAUUGUUAAGUCAGGGGUGAAAUCCUGGAGCUCAACUCCAGAACUGCCUUUGAUACUGAGGAUCUUGAGUUCGGGAGAGGUGAGUGGAACUGCGAGUGUAGAGGUGAAAUUCGUAGAUAUUCGCAAGAACACCAGUGGCGAAGGCGGCUCGCUGGCCCGAUACUGACGCUGAGGCGCGAAAGCGUGGGGAGCAAACAGG
rnacentral:rRNA from 1 species